AAAAAGUUAGUUAAAAUAACAUAAAUUUGUCAAAUUUAAAUUAUUAGAUUAAUUCUAAUACUUUUUU
rnacentral:tRNA from 1 species